ensembl:lncRNA
UCUCCUUUGUUUUCUGUUGCGUAUUCUCUCCUUCUGGGGAGAAAGUGUGGGAAGCAGUGAAGAGGUCCUGCUCUGGGGAUGAGAAGCCAGGUUGAAGGAAGACUCGAGCACAGUGGACCUGGCAGGUGGGGUCUCCAGAGAGCCUGUGGCUGUGCAGAGCAGCCACCCCAGGGAUGCGUGCAGAAUUGAGUCUGAACACAUGGUCUUUCUGGUGCAUCUGGCUAGAUUGGGACUGUAUUGGUCUAUCUCCCUCAGCAGCCCUGGUCCAAGGAGCACGAUCAGAGAGAUAUAAGCCAGUCACUCCAAGUUGUCAUCUUUCUCUUCACCAUGCCUGGGAGAGGAAGGAUUUCAAAAAGCCGUCCCCCUAGAAGACCAUUUGAUUCAACAACAAACAUGCAACAACAAACAUAUGACAAAGUGCAUUGUAUCCUUGCUACUCUAAGAGGUGAAGCAUCUCAAUUUGAACAUGAAUAUUAUCAGGAGGAACCAAACUACAAACUCGACGUCACACUGAGACAUACAGUGUGGAGUGUGCAAGGGGUCUAAGAAACAGGCCCCAAUUGUGUGCCCCGGUUCACUAAGGACAGACCUGUGAUGCGUCUGGGUCUCCCUCACACUGAGAAACCGAGAGAAAGUAGGAUAUCAAAUCACCAAUGGGAAGAAUGAGAGAAAUUGUCUGAAACCAGCAGGCGGCCUAAAGUUCAUCAGCCCUGUGAGUGUGGUGGGGCUGGGAAGAGGCAUGCGUCCGUGCCCAGGGAUGUCAAGAGAGGCCCUGCAUAGGGAGGAAGCAGGUGAGAGGAGCUGCCAGGUGGCUCCCUGUUGCCUGUCAGUCAUCCAUGGCUGGUAACAGAUGACCACCAUGCAGUGGCAUAAACAGUAUUUAAGAUCUCAUAGUUCCUGUGGGUCAGGAGUCAGAGCCCAGGUUAGCAGGGGCUUUGGUUUGGGUCCCACAAGGCUGCUAUUAAGAUGCUGACCAGAGCGCAUUCCCCUCUGGAAGCUCGAUUGUGAAAGAAUCCACCUUCAUGCUCACGUAGGUGGUUGUGGAAUCCAUCUCCCAGUGUUUGCAGGAUCACUGACCCCAGGUCCUUGCUGGCCAUCAUUUGGAGGAACAUUUGGAGGAACAUUCCAAACAUCAUUUGGAGGAACAUUCCAUCAUUUGAGGAACCCUCAGUUCCUCAAGGUCAUUCUCAACUCCUAGAGGUCAUCCACAGAUCCUUGCUGACAAGGCUUUCUCACUUCAUCAAGCCAGCAAGGAGAACCUCCAGUGUGAGUCUCCUGGAGAGGCAGCGUCCAGGGUAGUGCAGCGUAAUCACAGUCAUGGUAUCCCUGUACCCUGCAAUUGGCACAUUCUGCUGAGUAGAAACCAGCUGCAGGUCCCAUCCACCCUCACAAGGGAGGAGAGGCUGCCAGGGUGACCGUGCCAGGAGGGGACUCCUAGGACCCCCCUUGGAGACUGGGCUCCAAUUCUGACAAAAUGUCCGUCCUCGGGACACGCAAUUCUAACUCCCAUGGUUAGGUUUUGAGUUGCAAUAAUAUAUUUCAAAAUAUCGAGCUUCUCUUGGGUUUUACUCCUAAAAAAACUGAAUAACCUCUUUUACUCUAAACAAUUUUUCCUGUUAAUUGUUAGUUUUGUCUACUAAAAUUUGUCUAAUAGCAUUUUUUCAUGGACCAUGUUAAGACAAUUUUUUGAAGAGGACUCUCUCUGCCAUAAGCUCCUGAUCAACUGGGGUUGAGAGGACAUCAAGGAGCUGUUUAUUCCCCCCAGGAUCCUGCCUCUGUCUCCAAGGCAGGGAGGUAGGUGGGGACUGUCAAGGGCCUGCUGAAGAGGGAGGCAGGCCUGU